AAUAUUGGACAAUGGGGGCAACCCUGAUCCAGCCAUGCCGCGUGUGUGAAGAAGGUCUUCGGAUUGUAAAGCACUUUAAGUUGGGAGGAAGGGUUGUAGAUUAAUACUCUGCAAUUUUGACGUUACUAACAGAAUAAGCACCGGCUAACUUCGUGCCAGCAGCCGCGGUAAUACGAAGGGUGCAAGCGUUAAUCGGAAUUACUGGGCGUAAAGCGCGCGUAGGUAGGUUGUCAAGUUGGAAGUGAAAGCCCCGGGCUCAACCUGGGAACUGCUUUCAUAACUGCUGAGCUAGAGUACGGUAGAGGGUAGUGGAAUUUCCUGUGUAGCGGUGAAAUGCGUAGAUAUAGGAAGGAACACCAGUGGCGAAGGCGACUACCUGGACUGAUACUGACACUGAGGUGCGAAAGCGUGGGGAGCAAAC
rnacentral:rRNA from 1 species